rnacentral:sRNA from 1 species
UAAAACUCAUGCCUGAACUCUAGAGAUAUAAAGCGUCAUCAGUGGACUCUGUGUUCUGUGUACAUGAACUCUAGAGAUAUAUCGCGUCUUCAAUGGACUCUGUGUUCUGUGUACAUAAAUACUAGAGAUAUAUCGCGUCAUCAGUACUCUUUGUUCACUGUACAUGAACUCUAUAGAUAUAUUGCGUCAUCAAUGGACUCUGCAUUCUGUGUACAUAAACACUAGAGAUAUAUUGCGUCACCAAUGGACUCUGUGUUCUGUGUACAUAAACUCUAGAGAUAUAUCGCGUUAUCAAUGGACUCUGUGUUCUGUGUACAUGAACUCUAGAGAUAUAUCGCAUCAUCAAUGCACUCUGCGUUUUCUGUACGUGAACUCUAUAGAUAUAUUACGUCUUCAAUGGAGUCUGCAUUCUGUGUUCGUAAACUCUAGAGAUAUAUUGCAUAAUCAAUGGACUCUGUGUUUUGUGUACAUGUACUCUAGAGAUAUAUCGUGUCAUCAAUGGACUCUGUAUUCAGUGUACAUGAACUCUAGACAGGGUUGGCAAAAAAGUGGGAAAUACUCAUAUUUCCCAGGACGGUGGGAAAUACUGGUAAUUCCCGGGAAUUACUGGUAUUUCCCGGGAAAUACUGGGAAAUAAAGUACAACUACAUAUUAUAGUACUUCAUACUUAAGACAUUAGUCUUAAUUAAAUCUGUAGGGAUGUAGACAAUAGUACACCUUGUCAGCAAUGACAUUUUAUAAUGUUCUUUGAUUUUAACAAGUUUUGACUGGUCAGUAAUGCAUUGGUUAUCUCUUUUGAAUACUCAGAACAUGGUUCAUUCAUAUACCAUUGUAAUUUGUUUUUAAGGCUUUAAUCAGGUAUAGGUGCAUCUACACAGUUAUCAUAAACAUGAUAUCAAAGGUUCCAUUUUCUGGUUAUUUGGUGAAUAUGAAAAUGGGGCAAGAAAAUUGUGAAAAAAAAAGUGUGACUGUGUCACUACCUCAGUAUGCAACACACCUAAGAAGAAGCCAAUUAGCCCCACUCAUAGUAUAUAUCUCCCCAAAACAGGAGCACAAAACUGUCAAGUGUCAAUUAUUUAUUAAAACAACGUGUGAUUAUUAAAUGUUUACUUGCAACACCUACACUAAUUAUAACAGUUUAUUUUGUGCUUUGAACUAUAAAUCUGUAAAACACAACACUUGAAGUUAAAAAAAAACUGGACUAAAAUUUGUACAUUAGCAGCUAUAGAAAUCUUUUGGAAUAUGUGAUCUGGUGAAUUUAAGAUUUAUAAACUGACAGUGAAAUGGGGAAGUAUAAUAAAUUGGUUUUUGAUGCUUACUGUUAAUAUCUUUUAUCAUAAACAUAAGUUUUACAUUGAACAAACUAAAGAAAUAAAGAUUAUAAAUUUGUAUUUCCCAGUAUUUCCCAGUUUAGUGGAAAACAGUAGUGUUUACCGGGACGGGAAAUACCGGUAUUUACCACCGGUAGUUCCAAGCACUGGUAUUUCCCGGCCAACCCUGACUCUAGAGAUAUAUCGCGUCAUCAAUGGACUUUUUGUUCUGUGUACAUGAACUCUAGAGAUAUAUCGCGUCAUCAAUGGACUUUGUGUUCUGUGUAUGUGAAGUCUAGAGAUAUAUCACGUCAUCAAUGGACUCUAUGUUCUGUGUACAUGAUAUCUAGAGAUAUAUCGCGUCAUCAAUGGACUCUAUGUUGUGUGUACAUGAACUCUAGAGAUAUAUCGCAUCAUCAAUGCACUCUGUGUUCUGUGUACAUUAACUCUAGAGAUAUAUCGCGUUAUCAAUGGACUGUGUGUUUUGUGUACAUGUACUCUAGAGAUAUAUCAUGUCAUCAAUGGACUCUGCGUUCUGUGUACGUGAACUCUAGAGAUAUAUCGCAUCAUCAAUGCACUCUGUGUUCUGUGUACGCGAAACCUAGAGAUAUAUCGCGUCAUCAAUGGACUCUGUGUUCUGUGUACAUUAACUCUAGAGAUAUAUCGCGUUAUCAAUGGACUGUGUGUUUUGUGUACAUGUACUCUAGAGAUAUAUCAUGUCAUCAAUGGACUCUGUGUUGUGUGUACAUGAACUCCAGAGAUAUAUCGCGUCAUCAAUGGACUCUGUGUUCUGUGUACGCGAAACCUAGAGAUAUAUCGCGUCAUCAAUGGACUCUGCGUUCUGUUUACAUGAUCUCUAGAGAUAUAUCGCGUCAUCAAUGGACUCAGUGUUCUGUGUACAUGAACUCUAGAGAUUUAUCGCGUCACCAAUGGACUCCGAGUUCUGUGUAUGCUAACUCUAGAGAUUUAUCGCGCCAUCAAUGGACUCUGUGUUCUAUGCAUGGUAACUCAAGAGAUAUAUUACGUCUUCAAUGGACUCUGCGUUCUGUGUACAUGAACUCUAGAGAUAUAUCGCGUCAUCAAUGGACUCUGUGUUCUGUGUACGUGAACUCUAGAGAUAUAUCGCGUCAUCAAUGGACCCUGCGUUCUGUGUACAUGAACCACUGAGAUAUAUCACGUCAUCAAUGGACUCUGUAUUCUGUGUACAUGAACUCUGGAGAUAUAUUGCAUCAUCAAUGGACUCUGUGUUCUGUGUUUAUGAACUCUAGAGAUAUAUCACGUCAUCAUAUGUGUUCUUUGUGUUAUAAAUAUUGUCAUUCAGAAUGGUGGCUAAUUAAUGUGUGAUGAUUCAUUUUUCAGUUUUGAUUUGCACACAAGAAUUGAUUAAAAUACAUUCAAAGGGAAAUAACUCAAAUUUGUUUUUUUUUAUUUGAAAUGAAAAAGCAGUUAUCCCCCUUCUACUAAUGUUUUCUUGAAUUAAUCUGUAUUUUAUGUUGUUGAUCCCUUACAUUUUUUGUAGGAGAGUUUAUUGAGUAUCAGUCAAUGUUUUAUUACAAAAUACCAUGAUAAGUAUAAUUGGGGAUUUGGGGGGAGGGGGAAUUACAGUGGACCAAACCAAAAUGUUUUUUUUUUUCAUAGUUUGAAUGACAACAAUGGUAACGUGUAAAUAGUUGACGUUAAUGUGUGUUAUAUAUUGUACGGUUGAGCCAUGUCUUAUAUCCCCUAAACCUGUAAUACUUACAAUGUUAUUACAAGUUACAUCAUGAUAAAGUGGUGUAAGGCAAAUGUUAUGUAAAGCCAUGCUGUUAAUAUUCUGAUGCUACUCUUUGUAUUGGGUUCAUGAUGCAUUUUGUAAAAAUAUACCUAUUAUUUACACUAAUGGUGGAUUUAGCACAUUUCUCCCUCUUAAAAAAACUGAGCUAUAUUGAUCAGGUAUAUAGAAAACUCAUGUUUAUUUGAAUAGUUUUGAAGGAAUAUUGUGACCAAAUUAAAGCACAAUGGUGGAUAUAACACAUUUCUCUCGCAUAGAAAACUUGGCUUGUUGAAUAGAAAGAUAAACAACUAAUGUUUCUGUUUAAUAUUUUUUUUUAAUGUUUAAAAAGCUUUGAAGUAAUAUUGUGCUUAUAUUCAAGUGCUUAUUAUCAUAUUUUGAGACAUUUAUAGUGUUUGUUUGAUGUUUAUGCAUACCAUAAAUUACAUAAUUCAUAUACAAAUGAUUUUGUGGAGUUGUAGCAAGCUCUAGAUAAAACUCAAUAAAAGUGACAUUUC